rnacentral:rRNA from 1 species
UCGCGGCCUAUCAGCUUGUUGGUGGGGUAACGGCCUACCAAGGCGAUUACGGGUAGCCGGCCUGAGAGGGCGACCGGCCACACUGGGACUGAGACACGGCCCAGACUCCUGCGGGAGGCAGCAGUGGGGAAUAUUGCGCAAUGGGCGAAAGCCUGACGCAGCGACGCCGCGUGGGGGAUGACGGCCUUCGGGUUGUAAACCUCUUUUACCACCAACGCAGGCUCCCAGUUCUCUGGGGGUUGACGGUAGGUGGGGAAUAAGGACCGGCUAACUACGUGCCAGCAGCCGCGGUAAUACGUAGGGUCCGAGCGUUGUCCGGAAUUAUUGGGCGUAAAGAGCUCGUAGGCGGCGUGUCGCGUCUGCUGUGAAAGACCGGGGCUUAACUCCGGUUCUGCAGUGGAUACGGGCAUGCUAGAGGUAGGUAGGGGAGACUGGAAUUCCUGGUGUAGCGGUGAAAUGCGCAGAUAUCAGGAGGAACACCGGUGGCGAAGGCGGGUCUCUGGGCCUUACCUGACGCUGAGGAGCGAAAGCAUGGGGAGCGAACAGGAUUAGAUACCCUGGUAGUCCAUGCCGUAAACGUUGGGCGCUAGGUGUGGGGACUUCC